UACGAAGGGUGCAAGCGUUAAUCGGAAUUACUGGGCGUAAAGCGUGCGUAGGCGGCUUUGCAAGUCCGAUGUGAAAGCCCUCGGCUUAACCGAGGAAGUGCAUCGGAAACUGCAGAGCUUGAGUACUUAAGAGGAUCGCGGAAUUCCCGGUGUAGAGGUGAAAUUCGUAGAUAUCGGGAGGAACACCAGUGGCGAAAGCGGCUCACUGGCCCGGUUCUGACGCUGAGGCGCGAAAAGCGUGGGGAGCAAACAGG
rnacentral:rRNA from 1 species